UCCAAACCCCAUCGGUUGCUCUCAAAACUAAUUUAUUUUGUUUCACAUCGAGAGCAUCCAUUCUAUGUGAUGCAUGUGAGGUCGCAUACUGAUUUGCCAGGCAAAAUUGCAGAAGGGAAUUGUAAAG